UUGUGGAGGAGGACGCCGAAGGUGGGGCUAAUGACUGGGGUGAAGUCGUAACAAGGUAGCCGUACCGGAAGGUGCGGCUGGAUCACCUCCUAACAGGGAGACAACAAAAUGUUUAAUAUUAUUAUUUUGUCACCUUAGGUCGAUCGGUAUCUCACAUUCUUAAUUAGUUAAGAAUUUCAAUUUCUAAGUUUUUCUAGGUCACACCAUUAUUUUUCCUGGGCCAUUAGCUCAGGUGGUUAGAGCGCACCCCUGAUAAGGGUGAGGUCCCUGGUUCAAGUCCAGGAUGGCCCAUAUCUCUAUGUUGGGGGUAUAGCUCAGUUGGUAGAGCGCCUGCUUUGCAAGCAGGAUGUCAGCGGUUCGAGUCCGCUUACCUCCACUGAUUACCACCUCUUCCAUAAUUUGUAGAAGGGAAAUGUUUUGAGUUGUGAUCAAAUUCUGAACGAAUCUAGCUUCCUAAUGAAGGUAUUAAGAUGCUGGACUCAUUGAAUUAAUUUCAUUGUUUUCAGAGAACCUUGACAACUGCAUAGAUUAUUUUUUAAAGACAAUAAGCAUCUUUAAUGAUGCAGAUUUAUUAUUUGUGCGAAUGCAUUAAUAACAAUUCUAUUAAGCUGAUGCUUCAAUUUAGAAGUUAUUGGUCAAGCUACAA
rnacentral:misc_RNA from 1 species